UCCAACGCUGAAUCACCCGUUUUCCUGAUUCACCCAACAACUUAACACAUUUACUAUCAGCAUUUUCACAAACUAAACAGUCAAAGUUUCGGCCUAACCAUAUUCGGAAGUGUCAAGAAGCCUCAUGUUUUCAGCAUAAACCAUCAAUUAAGAAUAAUGAUGGUGUCUUAUCCAGUGUUCAUCAUCCUGGCCGUCCUUGUUCGCAACUCCUCUCCGUCAAUGAUAGGCAAGUCGGAGUUUGAAGCGAAGAUGUUCGAGUCCGGGAAGGAGCAGUUCGAGAUGGCCAAGCAAAGAAGCAGCCUCCCUCGACAGGGCGAAUGUUGGAAGGUCGCCAUCUCCCGACUGUCAACAGGCUGCGACCACUUGGACGAGAAUCAACACACCAUGUUGAGCCUCAGCUUGGCCGACUGCUUUUUGGAAAUGUCCGGAGAGGAAAAGCACAAGUGCGGUGACUUGGACGGCUCCUCCGAAAGGGCCGCCUGCAUUAAGAAGAUGCCAGACAGGGCUUUUGGAGUCUUCACCAAGUUCUUCACGCACGUCUCCAACAUGUGCUACUUUCUGAAAAGCAGUGUCUGGCACGAAAUGGCCGAGAACACAAUCGACAGUUUGUUGACUGUGUCUCAACAAGUGGACAGUCAGAUGAAAGAUGUCCGUGAAGCAAACAACAGACUUCUGGCUUUCCAGCAGAAGUCGAUCUCAUUGCAAGAACAGGUCAUCAACAACGGAGCAAGUUUAGACGAAGUUAUUAAAAAGUCAGCUUCGUCGGUCGCAUUACUCAUGACUGAAUUAAGAGAAAAUACUAUGGAUCAACAACUGGCCUUGUUGGACAUCUCUCAAAGACUGUCUGCUCUGCAGGCUUGGGCAGUUGGGGAAGUGUCUUGGCUGGAGUCGUUGGCCUAUUUUGCUAUAGCCGUCUGCACAGCGUACCUGACCACAGCCUGGAGCCGCGCACACGAAGCCCGAGGCUGGAUUUUUGUCCUUCUCUUCAUCGGAGUCCUCCUUGAACAGGCCAUCUUCAAAUUCGUUCUUGCUAACCUCGAAGGGGCUUCGAGCAUGUUUCAAAAGGAAAGCAUUUAUUUCUGGGUUUGGAAGCUGCGAUAUCUGAUGUUGGCUAUGUGUGUCUCGGUUUACAUUUACUGCGUUUCCACAUUUGUCGAUUACUCUCAGGUCAAUAACAAGCUGCUCACUUCCAUUCACAACAUGGUCAGGGAUUUGCAGAAUACCGGAAUGGCUCUUGAAUUAGAAAGACCGAUGAAUCAAGUUGGUCCUGAAUUAGAGGAAAAUAGGCGCAACAGAAGAGAAACGAGUGUUACAGUCGUCAGGGUGGAGCAGAAAACAUUCAACAAAAAAUCUCCAACACCUAUUAGGACUAGCAAAAGAACCAUGGCCAUUCUGGAGGUUGACGAUUCCUACUCUCCCAAUACCCCACGAUACAACCUGAGAAACACCCCUUUGAGAAACUCAAACACCCCAGUGCGACAACUCACCAUCAAGGAGAGAAAUAAUUAAGAUAAACUUACCGACAGACGUGUUGACAGUGAGGGCCGUUUCAUACUCGACCGUGUUCAAGAAAAAGUAGCCGUCGGCGCUCUGAUCUGUCCCCGGAAUCGCCGUGAAGGUGGCUGAGUAAAUGGGUGGCUCGACGUCGUACCACCCUUUCAGAUACUGCCGUUCAACCUGCGUGAUUUUCUACAGAAAAAAGCAAGGUUGGCGUCGGUGAGGAGGCCUUGGAUUUCGACUCGGCUGGGAAUUGACGAUUUCUUCAGACUUUCCAAGUGGCUCAUGAUGAACGAACCGACUGCAGGACAUGAAAAAUUAAAUCAGACGAUUCUUUGCUUUGGAGAAAACAACUUACUGGCCGCGAGUGCCGCCCCUGCGAACAGCAGCAGAUGGACCACAAUUUGGAGUCUCAUGGUCGCUCUCAGUCUCGCAUGUCCCCCGAGUAAAAGGGCCCAAAUCACACAAAAAUCACUCUAUGGCAGCUCCAGCAGCGAAGAAAGAAAUGCGUGUGAAUUGACGCGAUAAGCAGGAUGUUGAUUUGGAUGACCGCGUUGUAAAAGGCAAAGGGCGUGAUGAUAAGGGGCCAAGGGUCACUCAAUCCCCCUGGCUGUCCAGUUACGUCAGUAAACAUGCUUGGAUGAGAAAAAUUGUGGCAUUUUGUGCUUAUAUUUGUGUUCUUUGCACUCUUGAUUCAUUUUGCGAUUUUCUCUUUGUCAUGAAGAAUCGAUAAUUAAUGUCAAUCAUUCUGAUUGAAAGAAAAAAAUUUAGAAUUAUUGGUUGUUGUCUUUUGUACAUAACGGUACAUCACUUUUUUUAUAUUUCUCAAUUUGGAUAAAAAAUGCAACAAAUAUUCCAUUUGUAUUUUUAUAAUGCUACCAUAGAAAUCAAUAUUAUAUCAUUUUUGUCAUCAAAUGCAAAUUUUUGAUAACAAUAACAGGAAAGGAGAACUGAGAAACAAAAAAUAAAAACAAUUUAACAAUAUGUAGGAUAUGGAAAUUAAAAGAUUGGGCUUUUCCUCGUUGUGAAAUUGUUUUUAUUCAAAAAACAAAACGGCGUUACCAGUUUUGGUCACAAUCCGCGAUCCUUCUUUAAGAGCAAGCAAAAUAAAAAAAAAAAAAAUAACAAAAUUAAAGAACUGCAUUUUAACAUAAAAAUUCUAAUCUUACAAAUUGCUUGUUAAGAUGUGGCUCUUUUUUUCCAAUUUUGCUAAUUUUUUUCCUUGCUCAUGGUUGCCGACCGUGACCAAAACUGGUGGAGCCGUUGUAUUUUUGAGUGAAAAAAAAUUUUGCAACAAGGAAAAGCCUAAUCUCUUCAUUUGUAUGAUCAUCUCAAAUUUUAAUUUCUUCCGAUGCUGGAUACGUUACAUAAAUCCCAUAAUUUUUCUCUGUAUUUCUAAUGCAUGUCAAAGUUGUGGAUGGCUUAAAAUAUAAAAUCAUAAUUUUCA